AGCGGGAUAGAGCAGUUGGCAGCUCGUCGGGCUCAUAACCCGAAGGACGUUGGUUCAAUUCCAGCUCCCGCUA
rnacentral:tRNA from 5 species